CCUACGGGCGGCUGCAGUGAGGAAUAUUGGUCAAUGGACGAGAGUCUGAACCAGCCAAGUAGCGUGAAGGAUGACUGCCCUAUGGGUUGUAAACUUCUUUUAUAUGGGAAUAAAAUGUUCCACGUGUGGGAUUUUGUAUGUACCAUAUGAAUAAGGAUCGGCUAACUCCGUGCCAGCAGCCGCGGUAAUACGGGGGAUACGAGCGUUAUCCGGAUUUAUUGGGUUUAAAGGGAGCGUAGGUGGAUUGUUAAGUCAGGUGUGAAAGUUUGCGGCUCAACCGUAAAAUUGCAGUUGAAACUGGAAGUCUUGAGUACAGUAGAGGUGGGCGGAAUGCGUGGUGUAGCGGUGAAAUGCUUAGAUAUCACGAAGAACUCCGAUUGCGAAGGCAGCUCACUGGACUGCAACUGACACGGAGGCUCGAAAGUGUGGGUAUCAAACAGGAUUAGAUACCCGAGUAGUC
rnacentral:rRNA from 1 species